rnacentral:rRNA from 1 species
CUAAUCAAUGGGGAUUUCAACCUCAUCUACGAGGUGUGCGACAAAAACAACCUUAAUCUCAACCGUAGGCUCAUGGGUAGAUUCCGGUCGGCCAUCAACGCGGCUGGUCUGAAAGAGAUCAAUUGUAAAAAUCAUCGCUACACCUGGAGCAGUGAGCGUCAAGAUCCCACCCUCGUCAGCAUAGACAAGUUUUUCUACAACCAAGCUUGGAAUCCCUGUUCCCCAGCUUUGCAUUGA